GUGUGGCCCAGGAACAAGUCCUAGGGCCGCAAUGUGCGUUCGAAUUGUCAAUGUUCAUGUGUCCUGCAGUUCACAUGGCAACGCGCAAUUAGCUGCGUUCUUCAUCGACCCACGAGCCAAGGGAU
rnacentral:rRNA from 1 species